rnacentral:lncRNA from 1 species
UAGAUUUGGGAUUUUUGGAAAUUGUCAGGAAUGUAGUAAUGAGUUUUGGGAAAAAUGGUUUCACAAAGUUGGUAUUCAUUUAAAUGAGGGUUUUGUGCCCAAUAUUCUGGUUCUAUGGUAAUAAUCUGGUCUUCAAUGGGCUUAUAUUUAUAUUGGGUUAAAUCAGUUUGGCUUGAAGAAGAUGGGCUUGUAGGUAUUGUGUAGCUUGGAGAUGAGGUGUUGGUGACAGCCUGUUUAAAUGUGGAUGGGGUUAUUGGUACUGCCUGUAAUGGGCUAAAUUUGUUAAAUGAAGUAAAAUAAGGUCUGGGCGAUCUUGGUCUUGCAUACUGUGGUUGUGUGAUCAAAGCACUUGAUAUAUGACCAAUGG